rnacentral:ncRNA from 1 species
AAAACAAGUGUUGUAUCAAACAACCGUUUCAUAAAUUUGCUUUCCGAGUAGCCACUGAUACAGUGGCUUUUUUUCUGCU